AUGAUGUUGGAAUUUAGUUUUUCCAUGUGGUUGCACAUUUCAUGAUGCCACUCAAUGUGAAACACUUUAUGUUUUAAGUUCUUUUUGUGAUUGAAGAUUCUGAUUUUUUCUUUUUCUUUGUUUGCAGGGUCUUGAUUUACAGCAUGAUCCAACCCGGGAUUGAAGUGAAUUUUGUUUAGUAUAUUUUGGUCCACUCAAUGCAUGAUUUCAUUUUUCUUCUUCUGUGCUGGUAGACAUCUUAGAUCACAAUCACCUGAACAUAAUAAAUAGUUGAAACUAUAUAAUUUGGAAACCCCCCUUUACAAUGAUGCUGAAGAUGUAAACAUCAGUUUUUAAACAUUUGGAGCACGAUCCUCUGUUUCUUGCCUGUCAAUUAAAUUGAUUGAAUGCUUUUUGCCAAAUGCAAGUCUUGUUGCUUCAUUCUUCUUAAUAUUUCAUUGGUUUAAUAGCCUUGUGAUGAUGGUCAGUAUUCGAUUUCAUCUGUUUGAUAGCAUAGUAGUGAAGGUCCAAAACUCUAUUUAAUCAUGCCAACUGAUGUUGGGGCAACCUUGUCCAUGUAUUGCAGUUGGUUAUGUGGGUAUGACCAUGUCUGGUGAUACACUCUAGGAUAUACAGACGAGCACUAUAGGGAUCCCUUGGUAUGGACAUUCCUUUUGACUGAUUCAUAGAGCUGGCUGUCUUAUUUUUUCCUAUUAUCCUCCCGAACUUUUACUGCUAGAUUAUACCAUACCAUUUUGUUAAUUUGAAAACGAUGCUGUUGUCAGGAUUCAAGCAGAGCCUUAAUAUUUCUUAGGAAGAAGCUUCAUCCAAACAAUUCUUGCUGGAGGAUUGACCAUAUUCCCAUUAGAACUGUUGGUGAUUGAAAGAACUGAAAUCAGAAUGUUCUUUCCAUGUCCUAAAUAAGGCCUUUUUGGAUCAUAAAUUGGCAUUGAAAAGCCACCAUGAGCAAUUCCUCCCCAGAUUACGGGUCUGGAUGUCAUUUUUGGUAAAGUAUUUGUAUUCCGGGUUUCACAAUAUUUUGAAACCAGGUAGUUGAAAAACAUCUUGCCAGAUUUUAGAAAAUUUGAAAGAUCUGUCAUCUGUGAUGAUAAUAUCAUGAUAGGAUUUACCUCUCACAAUUAAGAAUUUCUAGAUGGUUGCUUGAAAAAUUGGCCCAGUUUAUGGAGUUUAUUUUACAAAUUUUCCAGCAAAGGAGAGACUAUGGAAUGCAGCCCCCCAACCCCUCGUUUUUGGUGUUUAUUCCUAAAAAUGUCGAGUAGAAGAUACAAUGAAUUUCAGAUUGCAAAAGGUGAUAUGCUGCAUUUGAUUGCGGAUAAAGCGAAAUGGAAGAGGGGGAGAUGGAAUGGAAGUCAGUCACCUCUCAUUUGCAGAUGAUACUCUUCUCUCUUGUAAAGUGAAUGUGGAGUAUCUGAGAUACUAAAAAAAUUCACAUAAGAGUGAGAUGAUCCUUGUUGAAGAUUUGUUAGGGGUGGAGAGCUUGGCCAACUUGUUUGGUUGUAGGCUUGGAUGCCGUUCCUUUGUCUUACCUUGGUUUGCCCUUGGACUCUUAUCAAGCAACACCAUACCACGUUUCCUAAUCUACCUGUCUUUGUGUGGGAACCCAACGAUUCAUAGAUAGUUAAGUUCAAGACAAUCUAAAAUGAAGAAAAAUCCAUCAUGUGAAUUGGGCAAAGGACAAAAAGCAUGGAGGGUGGAGAAUUAGAGACUGGGUUAUUUGAAUGAAGUGCUACCAGGCAAGCGACUCUGAAGAUAUGCUCACAAGCUUGUGCAUAUCUGUUAUGCCUCUGUUUAUGCGGGAUUUCUAUAUGAAUUUCUGCUUGCCUAUCAACCGAGAAGAGGGGAAAAAAUUCUAAGUAUGUAUUCAUUAGAGUCUGCAAAUGCCUUUCUACUUAUCAGCAUUGUUGCUCAUAAGUCAUAAGUUCUUGUAACUGAGAAUAAAGGGUUCAAUGCAGCUACCCCGUAAUAAGAAAAAAAAACCCAAAUAUUUCCAAAAAUCCAAACCAUUUGCAGCAAAAAAAUAAAAGGAGAAAAAGCCGGUAUUAUUAGUAAGAAAUCUCAAGUUCCGUUUGACACCAAUACAACUAAAAAAGAUGGUAGGAUCGUAGAUAUCAGAAGAGUCAGCAUGCUGGAUAUAACCAGUCUUGGUGUAAUGUAAUAUAUCUCAUCCCCUAGACUGUUAUUUCGAAUCAUCUCUCAUGAGCCCUUGCUGAGCUGAAAAUUCUGGGUCCAAAACUCCUCAUUUUGUGGAGUCAAUGUGCCUGAUCAAGUCAACCACGCGCGAGCUACAACAGACAACACCCACAAACAAACGAUUCAGCCAAAUGUUAUUCAUCUACUCUAUCUUAAAAUUAUGAGCAUUUAGUGAAAAUUACCUGUAACCCCAUUCAUUAUCAUACCAAGAGACCAACUUGAUAAAGUUUUCAUUCAGAGCAAUUCCAGCCUUGGCGUCGAAAAUACUCGACCUGCCAAAGGACAGUUGAUCAUACAAUUCAUUUGCAGAAUAAGCAAAAUGUUGAAGAAGAGGAGGCAAAGGCAUUAUUGCAAGAUUUGCCUCACCUGCUGUCUCCCAAAAAGUCGCUUGAUACCACUUCAUCCUCAGUGUAACCAAGGAUUCCCUUCAAAUUUCCCUCAGAUUCCGCCCUGAAUGGGAGUCAGAUGGUUUAGUUAAUAAGAAUAGCUGCAAAUGUGCACAUGGGAAGUGGGAAGUUCAAGCAAAUUUUCCUUUAUCUUACUUGAUGGCAGCCUUGAUAUCAUCAUAAGAGGCCUUCUUCUCCGUCCUCACAGUGAGAUCAACCACUGAGACAUCAGCCGUGGGCACACGGAAAGCCAUUCCAGUCAAUUUGCCAUUCAGAGCUGGUAGCACCUUCCCAACAGCCUUCACAAACACAGACAUAUUAGUCGUAUUACUGUUUAUGAUAACCAAAAGAUUGGUUUUGAAUCCAUGGAUGCAGGUCAUUUUAAUACCUUUGCAGCACCAGUGCUGCUGGGAAUAAUGUUGAAAGAGGCAGCUCUGCCACCUCUCCAAUCCUUCAUUGAUGGUCCAUCAACUGUCUUUUGUGUAGCUGAAUCACAUAGGGCCAUAGAACCACAAAUCAAUAAAGAAAUCCUCACCACUUUGAAACAGAAAAGGAAAAUAAACAACAUCCCACUAACCAGUGAUGGAAUGGACAGUGGUCAUAAGACCCUCAACAAUACCAAAUUUGUCAUGGAUGACCUGUCCAAAUUUAUUUCAAGAGGCAUAACAUAGGAUCAAAAUUCAGUCAAUGGCUCAAUUGCAGAGGUGGUAUUUGUUUUUUAACUUAAUUAUAAAUAAAACUUUAAUGCUUAAUAGUAUUAAGUAUUAAACUGUUUGUUUUUGUAAUAUUUUAUUUCUAUUAAGCAUUAAAAAGUAAAAAAAAAUUAGCAUGUUAUUUUUUCUAUUUAGAAAAAAUCAAAAUAUUUGGUUUUUUCUAUUCAUCAAAAGUUUAUAAUAAGUCAUGAAAAAGUAGAAAACAAACCUAAAAUCUGAAAUCAAAUUACUUUCAACAAAAAACUAAAAAAAACAAUCACCCUAAGAGACUUGAACUAUUUUCUGAAAGCUACCUUUGCCAAUGGAGCAAGACAGUUGGUCGUGCAGCUAGCAUUAGAAACAAUGUCAAUAUUUGACUUGUAUUCCUUCUCGUUAACACCCAUAACAAACAUAGGAGCGUUACUGCUUGGAGCAGAAAUGAUGACCUUCUUGGCACCACCCUGUUUAUAAUUUAGGCCAUGGAAUCCAACCAUCAACCUCAAAAUCACCCAAACAUGAUUCAUAUUUUUUAAGUUCUCAUACCUUCAAAUGCAGGGCAGCUUUGUCCUUAUCAGUGAAAACACCAGUGGACUCGACCACAUAUUCGGCUCCAGCCUCACCCCAUGGGAUCUCCUCAGGGUUCCUAGACAAUGAAAGAAAGAAGACAACAUCAUCAACUGAGGAUCUAAAUCCCUUUUCAUCCAAAAGAAACAUGAAGAGAAUUAUCCUCAUUACUUCGCGCCAAAAACAGUAACUGCCUUGUCUCCAAAAAGAAGGGUCUUGGAGUCCUUCACUUUAAUAUCAUGAUGCUUCCAUUGGCCAUGGACAGAAUCAUACUUAAACAUGUAGGUCUGCAACACAUCAACAAACCAUAGUCAGCAGAAGAGACUGUUGAAUAGGAUCAUGAAUACAUAUAUACAUCAAAACAAAAAGGGAAUUUAUUACCAUGUAGUCAGUGUUGAUAAAAGGAUCAUUGACAGCAACAAGUUCAACAUCAUCUCUCUGCAAAGCAACUCUGGCAACCAACCGACCAAUCCUUCCAAAUCCUUCAUCAGUACAACAAGAAAUAAAUCAACCGAGGGGCAUUGCUUGGGAUGAAGCAAAAUGUACAAGUAUCGAGAAGUUUUGAAUAUGUACCAUUGAUUCCGAUCUUGAUCUUGGCCAUGGCUGGUGGGUUGUAGAGAGGAGGAAGCGUAAGACAAAUAUGGAAUGCAGAGAGGAGGAAGAGUAAUGGCAAGGUGGUGAGGAGAAGGAAGGAGGGGUGUUUAUAUAAAAGAAAAUGGGAGGCCAGGUGGAUGCAUAACCGGUGAUUUCCACGGGCUCAUCGCCUUAGCAUUGGUAUCCGUACGACUUGUAUUUUGGUGGACAUAGUAAAAUCAUCUUAUUUCCUGAUAACUGCUUUCAACUCUUAAACCACCAUGAAUGGGGAAGAUGCGAGUUUUUUUCCCAUGAGAAGUUUUUUUUUUUUUUUUUUUUUUUUAUUCUAGAUUUUCCACGUAUUUUAAAUUUUAAAAGAAUUUAACUAUUGUAAGGAAGAUUACUUUUUCUACCCUCGUCAAGUACAAGAUGUUACAAAUGCUCUUAUUACUUGUUAGUUAAGUCUUAUUGUUUUGAAUCUGAAUCUUGUUGAAUGAUUUAUUGGAAUCAUUUGAAUCAUUUGUUUGAUAUAAUAUCAAAUUAAUUCCAUAAUAUUUUUUAUUUAAUAAAUAUUCAAUUCUCAUGUUCCACCAAGCACAAGGCAUAUGUGAAGAAUGGAGACGGUGGCUUGAAUUUAAGCUUUGGAAAUGGAAUCACAAACUAGGUAGCUUGUAGAAGAACAAAGAGUCUGAUUGGCUAUGUGAUUUAAAAAUAAGUUUUUAUUUUUAAAAACAAUAAAUCAUUUUUAAAAAUUUCUUACAUUGUUAUUUGAAAACAAUUUUUGAAAAUAAAGUAAGAUAAAUAACAAUUUUUAGAGAACAAAUAAGAGUUGUUUUAACCAUUGACAAAAGGAAAAUGUAAACCUGUUUGACCAUGUUUUCUUAAAUUUAUUUUUAAAAACUAUUUUUAAGUGAAAGAAUAAAAAACAAAUAUAAAAAAACAUGGCCAAACAUAACCUAAUUUUUCUAAAACCAAUGUGAUAGCAGGUUUGGUAGGAGGUUAUGUCUUCAAAUAUCAUUUUUGGGUCUAGUACCUACUGGCUUCUGAAUCCAAAUAUCUAUCCUAAAUGCAACUGAAAAAUCGCAUCACAUGUUGAAAAUCACAACUUCAAAAAGCAGAGGAUGAGGAGAAGCAAAUAAACAAGAGAACCCCACAGGCUGACACAAAAUUAGCAGGCCAAAUAGUUUAUGGUAGUUUGGUUGAUACAGUACUUAUAAUACACAGAAGUUAACAAACUGGGGAAAAGGAUAAGCUUAAAGAGCCAAUUCUAAGGGAUGGCUUUAAAGCUCUGUGAUGGAAAGAGAACAAAAUUUCUAGUCCCCCAGAAGUCUCACCCCCUGGUACAUUGCUCCAGAAUGGAGAUCAUCCAAGGUGUGAAAGCUUCUGUACCCAGUCAACUCUCUUAAGCCUAUCAAGCCACGUCGGGCAAGAAAGUCACGGAAAUCCUCUUCUGUAUACAAUGUUUUCUCUUCCGUUCGGACAGUUAUGCGAUCAGGGUCAUCAUAGAGGCAGACCUUUAUGGUCACUCCUGCCCACAGAAAAGAACAAUGAAUAAGAAUGGGGCUUCAAUUGUUUAUAAACAACUUCCAGUUUGCUUAUGGGGAAAGAUCAUGUUUAUAUUCUAGAUACCUUCAUCAAGGUGGAGUGUGUAAUUCCCAAGAGGCAUGUCCCUGUCAAGACAUCGGACGACUCCAUCUUCAUCCUCCAACCAAAAUGCCCGUUUAGUUCGUAAAUUGAAAGCACUCUUGAUUGCAUCCUUGAUUGCACCUAGAUUUCCAUCAAUACCAAUUCUUCUGGUGUAUUCACCCCAUUUGACUGAUAUGACCCUUCCACCAUAAGAAGAGUGGCCCUCCCCACCUGCCACCAUAAAAGAAAAUAAAAAAUAAAUAAAAGAAAUGAAUUGUAUACGUCAAACUGCAUGGAUGAAUUUUUAUAAGACAAAAUAAUCGAAAUUUCACAUAUAACAAAGACGUCAUUAUUCAAAAACUAUGGACUUCAAAGGCAUGUGUUAAGUGUACUGACAUCCAAGUGACAUCCAAGCAAGGAUAUUAUUGACAAGGCAAAGUCAUAAAGCUGAAAUACAGACAAAAUCUAGAUUUCCUGGAACGUGAAGUUUUUUUAUAGAAUAACAUAUCAAAUGAGAACAGUUCCCAUCAAAUGAGCUCAGGUAUGCGCCUUGGGGAGGAUCCACUUGCAAGAGUAUUGAAGUGGUUCCUCUCUCUCUUAAAUAUCAACCCACCCUAAUCCCCCAAUGACCGACUUAAAUAUCUGUUACAUCCAUUUUACAGUUCAUAACAACUCAAAAUUCACUUUCCAUGGUAAAUCACCUUCUUUCUUCACUGUAAGGAUUGAACAGUUUCAGAGCAAUGUGCCAAACAGGUCAUUAAAAUAUCUUGAGUAACAAUCAGAUCUCAUUGUUAAACAUUGUUCAUCCAUCCAAAGACAAAAAGUAUCCAAUGCACUUACAAAGAAAUAGAGUUUAGAAGGAAAAAAUAACUUCAGACUUCAAAAUUUAAGUUGAAAGUAUACCAUUCCCAGGGGUCUCUCUCCAAUUCCAAGGUGGGACUCCACUGGCUGCAACUGCAUCAGCUGCCGUAAUUGCAAGAGGAUCACCAUCAUGAUCCAAAGGCCUUUCAAGGUUGACUGUUGACCGGCCACUAGCUACACAAGUAGUGAAAAAUGUCCCAUAGAAACUCAAAGAUUCCCACUUAUACAAAAGCAUGAACAAUAUAUAUGAUUUUUGAAUUGUUAAGGCAAAUAUGCGACUUGUAAAAGAAAAAGGCACAAUUACAUGAGAGCACCUACUCCUGAUUUAUUAGUAGUUUAUGAAUAUCAAUCCAAAUCCAACGAUUUAAAAGUGAACAGAAAAAUAAAGCAUGUGCAAAAAGUCGCAGAAAUAUACUUGAAUGGUUUAUAAAUAAGACUGCAGUCUCUAGGAAGGACACAGGUAUUUAGUCUUGCUCUGAAACUGUGGCAAUGUUACUUGACUAGGAGUACACCGGUUUCAGAGCAAUACACAGGUGGCAGUGUUACUUGACUGGGAGGACACAGGUCAUGACAAAGAAGUUAAUCAUAUGCAAGUAUGAUUCAACUUGGACUUUCUGGGCUCGAUAUCUAGAAAGCCUUAAGAGUGUGCUCUAUCAUGCCAACCCCCAUCAAAGGAUUUGUUUCCAAUGGGAAGACUAAUUCUAAGGGCAGUAGGAAUGCCCCCCAUGUGAAAAACUUGCCAUUCUGGGUACUUAAUUUACUUUCCAGAAAGAGGAAUAGAAGAAAUUUGAAUGUUGAAAAGUGGCUCAAGAAGUCUGUCCAUCAUUGUAUCUAUGUGUCUCUAUUGCAUGGAACUUUUUCACUGAUUCUUUCUCUGAGUUCCUUGAAUUCAUAGUUUCACUAAAUAUCAUGGUAUCAUAAAAAUUAGUCAAUAAUGAAACUCUAAGAUAGAGUCAUGAACCAAAAAAAUUGGAAAACAUUUUGGCUUUGUUUUUCUGGGGAGAUUUUCAUUCAAGCACUGGAUGAAAAGAGUUAGAAAGGACUCAUGCAGGGUCUUAUUUGACUUGAGACAGUUGUUUUAGCAAAGAAAUAAGUAUCAUGUAGAUGAUAGAUCAUGAUCAAGGACAUCAAUGACUGAAGAUGUAACUGGAGAGUGAAGACAAUUGGUAAAGAGACAGAAUUUUGCAAGAGGCAUAAACUUAAAUUAGUGGUCACUAUUGAGGCCACAUCUGUUUGCCUAUUUUUGGAUGAACUAAUUGGUUCCAUAGAGGAAGAAUACCAUGGCACUUGUUUUUUGCAGCAAAGUUUUAAUUGCUUGGUCCAAAAUCAGGGUAAAUGCCAGGUUAAAACAAAGGAUAAGUCAAAAGGUUCUAAAAUAAAAUGAAGUGUAGGACUGGGACUGAAUUAAAGAAAUAGAACUUCAAUAAAAUAAGACAAGUAUAAACGGAAGAAAAAUAGAGCAAUAGCCAUUAAUUAUUAAAAAUGAUCAUUCCGUUAUAUUGGUUUAAUCAUCUAGGAAAAAAAAAGGAAGAAAAAUAUAUUUGCUACUAUAGAAAAGGGAACCACGGGUUUGGUUACCAUAGAAAAGGGAACCAUGGGUUUGGUUACUAUAGAAAAGGGAACCCUGGGUUCUCACAAUUUGCUUCUGAAAAUGCACAGACCUCCAGCCACAAAGAAAAAUCUCAUCAGAAUCAAGAACAAGGAAUGAUUUAAAUAUUUGAUCACCAAGAUAAGUUCCAUGAAUACAAUAUUUGCAUAAUAAACACUAGAUAUAAUUUAAGAACUCCCUUGAGAUAGAAAAUUCAGAAAGAAGGAUAAAUAAAUAAAUAGAGGUACAAUUAAACCUAAUAAAGCAGUACAACCAAAGCGAUAUUCUACCACACAGCGCAAAACAAAUUAGAAAGUAAGAGGUGUAACUAAAUCCUAAAAACACAGAUUCAAUAGAAUAAUUAUGAAGCUAUAUCAAUAAACCAUACAUGAACUACUCAUCACAAAUAUAAAAGGUAUUGCACAGAGAUCACUGUGCAACAAAGCGAUUUGAACUGAGCAAGUAGUACCCGUCUCUGGUGAAGAAAUACACAAUCUUUUUCUCGCAGGGAGAUCCAUUCUUUUAUAAGAAGAUGCUAAACAUAGGGCAUACCGCCGGAAGUAGAAUAGCCUUUUUCCUUUUUCUUGUUUUUAUGUCAACAGAAAGGGUAGAAGACAUGGGUAACGGGUAUAAGUAAAAGCCAGCAGUGCAUCAUUUGCUUGCAUCAUUUUCUUUUAAGUGCCAUAAUGUCAUGACUCCUUACAAGGAAAAAAAUAAUUUAAUUAAUGUGAAGUUUGGAUGGUUUUCUUUCUAUAAGGGAAGAGAUUUGAUGAGCUUCUAUUUACACCGUAGAUGGUUAAACAGUCCUGGCUACUGACCUGAAAAUGGUGCAUCUGGGUCCAAUCCAAUUUGGCAGUUAAUCAGGUUAAGUUGGUUCAUGACAUGAAAGAUAAUUUUGAGGAAGAAAUCAGCUAAUAAUCAACAAACCUAAUAAAAGCAAACAAUUCAUACCAAAGCCAUAAGAGUAAUACAGUUUUGUUUCAAUAAUUCAACCAUCACAUUGGAUAUCGGUACUGAUAGUAUCCCAGGUUUUCAAAACUAGAUUUCCUUUUAGAUCAUGAACAAGGCAUAGGCUUAACAGUUAUGCAUUAUAUAUAUAUAUAUAUAUAUAUUGAUCAGAAACAAAAGAUAUAUUAAUUAAUGAUAAGAAAACAUAAGAAGGAUGAGAAAUCCUCCCCAUGAAAUACAAACAUGAUCAAAAGACCCAAGAAACCCUCCGCUCUACAAGGGGAUGUGUACUAACAGUUAUGCAUUAUAUCAAACAAUCGGGUCACAGCACACAAUAGGUUAGCCAUACACCUAAUGUACCGUAAACCCAUCAAGUACCUAUGUAUGCAUCAGCCAUGUAGAAAUCUCCAUAAGCAAUGCACCAGUGUAUCAGUUAAUAGAUGGUUUCAAAUACCAUAGUCAUUUUUUUGAUAAGUAAAGCAAUUGUAUUAAAAGCACCUAAAGUAUACACGAUGUAUACAAGGCCAAAAAAGGAGGGAUAGACAAAAAACAACGCCCUCGCUUCACUUGCAGCCUAAUCAAUCUAUGAAAUCUAAAAGGAAUAAAGAAGUAAACUCUAUGUGUACCCUAACCCACUCCAAAAACAUGUACAUGAAGGAGCAUAAAAUAGUAUGGUCUGUUAGUUCAGAAUCUUUAAAGGCUCUUUGGUUUCUCUCCUUCCAUAAGGUCCAAAAUAGGCACAAAGGCACAACUUUUCAGGCCUUCUUCUUCUUCUUCCCAACAAAGGCACCCCGCUAACUAAUGAAGGCAUCCUUGAUUGAGAACGACAUCACCCACUAAACAUCAAAUAUAGCCAAAAUAAGGUGCCACAACAUGCUUGCCUUAGGACAAUGAAGGAAAAUAUGGUUUGUUGACUCCUCUUCACCCUUAUAGAAAUAACAUCUAUUUGGAAGACUCCAACCCCUCCUUUUUAGUUAAUCCAAAGUUAGAAUUUUUUCCCAAACUACUUUCCAAGCAAAGGAGAUGACUUUCAUUGACACCCAAGGAUUCCACACCAAGCUUGUGGGGAAACCUUUUGAAUAACAACCUACAAAGGAGGAAUAGAAAGAUUUGACAAAAAAGGUGCCCUCCUUUGACAACCGCCAAACCAUAACAUCCUCUACUCCACUGAUCACAUGCUCUUACAAUCUUCUAAGCAACCCUUCCACCUCACCUAACUCCCAAUCAUUUAUUUGUCUUGUGAACACUGGAUUCCAACAACCAAUCUCCCCAACCUACUCCCACAUUUCAUCUACCUAAGCUUCUUUAUCAAUGGCAAUUGAAAACAAUUCUGGAGAAUUCACAGCUAAAGGUUCCUCCCUACACCACCUAUCUUUCCAAAACCUCACCCUCUUGCCAUCUCCCACCCUAAAGCCAAUCCUAUCAUUAAACCCCUUCCACAUCAAAUCGCCUUCCAAAGACCCACCCCAUAGCCUUUCUUAGAAAUUCUAGAACACCAUUGAUGGGGGAAAGCCUUUUAAAGUUUAUUCAAGGAGGAAGGGGAAGACCUAAGUAAACUUUAAGUAAGAUUAAUAUUAAUUAGAAUUGAAUUAGGAUUAGUAUUUGUUGGAGUCUAAUUAGGAUUACCUAGUUGAGUUAUAAUAUAAUUAGAAUUUGAGUCAUGAUAGGUUAUUAGAGUCUUAGUAGACUUUGGAUAUUAUAAUUAGAAUUACAAUUAUAAUAGGUUAUUAGAGUCCUAGUAGACUUUAGAUUUCUUAGAGAAGCCUAUAUAUAGGCUAAUUAAUGUAAAUCAAAUGGAUGGAUUGAUAUUAAUAAUAUUAUGUUUUCUUUCAUUGCAAGGUUGCAACCCUCAAUGGUGAGACUCCAUUGAUUUUCUUCUAGGUGAGACUCCUAGAAGGCCUUCAUGAGACUCUAAGGCUUUUGAUCUUUUCUUCGUUGUUUUUUUCUUUCUCUCUAUUUCUUAUAUUAUAUUUUUCUCUACCAUAAAAUUUAUUCAUUGUUCCUCUCCUUACACCCUAAAAAUAAAACCCUAGUCCACCUACCCUUGAGAGUAGGCAACCAUCCUAGGGUUGUCCUACAUCAAUUUUGGUAUCAGAGUCAAAGUUCUUGGCUUGAAGGCAUAUGCAAUUAAGGAGCCGAGCAACUUAUGCAAGCAUGAGUUCCAAAAAAACUUUUAGCAAUCAAGAUGCCGCUACAAUACGCUUGGAGGAAAUUUCAGCCACACAACAGUCCCAUCAAGAUGCUAUAAUACAACUAAAUAGCAAACUUGACGAGAUCAUGAAGUUAUUAGAAAAAAGUCAAGAAAAACGACCAAUUGAAGAAGAGAUUGCAAGUCAUCAAUUUAUACAAUCGCCAAGUCGAUCACGCGAAGAACAAAACAAUUUUAUGAUGGGGAAUCAAAGAAGGGCCAAACUUUUUGAGCUAAAUGAUGAUGUGACAAAAAAGGUACAUCUUGAAGUUGCUGAAUUUUAUGGAAAACUAAAUCCAACAGCUUUUCUUGAUUGGAUUAUGUCAAUGGAAGAUUACUUUGAUUGGUAUGCAAUGCCCGAAAAUAGAAAAGUUUGUUUUGUGAAGGCAAAGUUAAAAGGAGCAGCAUGUCUAUGGUAGCAUAAUAUUGAAAAUCAAGUUCAUAGAAUUGGCCAACCACCUAUUGACACCUGGGACGAGAUGAAGUUGAAGAUGAAAGUGCACUUUCUCCCAAUUGAUUAUGAACAACUUAUGUAUACAAAAUUGUUUUUCCUUAAACAAGGUACCAAGUCCGUUGAAGAAUAUACAAAACAAUUCCAUGAAUUGAGCAUUUGAAAUCAAGUACGGGAAAAUGAUGCUCAACUUGCAGCACGCUACAAAGUUGGACUUCGAAUGGAGAUUCAACUUGAGAUGAUAGUUGCACACACUUAUACCGUAGAUGAUGUUUAUCAACUAGCCCUCAAAUUUCGGGUUUCCAAGCAUCCAAGUUCACGAAUUGGGAGCACUUUCUCCAACAGGAAAGCAAGCAAAACUUUAAGCACAUCAAGCUUUAGAACUUCUAAUCACACGAAUGGUGGGGGCAACACUCAACGGACUUCGAAUGUGGCUCACAAGAAUGGUAAUAAGGGUAAAACUUCCAUGAGUAUUAGAGAUAGAAAAGUAAACGUGACUCCUUUAUGCUUUAAGUGUGGUGGGCAUGGUCAUUAUGUUGUUGUGUGCCCAACCAAAGGUUUACACUUUUGUGUUGAAGAACCAGAAUCUGAAUUGGAGAGUUACCCAAAGGAAGAAUAGACCUACAAUAAAGAUGAAGUUAGUGAAAAAUGUGACUACUAUGAUGGUAUGAUGGAAGGACAUAGUCUUAUAGUAUGACCUUUAUUAGUUGUCCCAAAGGUAAAAAGAGAAGAAGAUUAGCGAUGUACUAGCAUUUUCCAGACACGUAUUUCUUACCAAGGGAGAUUAUAUACCAUGAUCAUUGAUGGAGGUAGCAGUUUGAACAUAGCUUUGCAAGAACUUGUUGAGAAGCUAAACCUUAAAACAGAGAGACAUCUAAUCCAUUCAAAGUAGCAUGGGUUAAUGACACCUCUAUCUCGGUAAGUUUUCGUUACUUGGUAACAUUCCUUUUUGGUAAGGACUUUGAAGAGUCUGUAUGGUGUGAGGUCUUACCCAUAAAAGUAAGUCGUAUUUUACUUGGAAGACCUUGGCUUUUUGAUAGAAGAGUUCAACAUAACGGCUAUGAAAACACAUAUGCUCUCAUACACAACGAACGUAAGAAGAUCCUUCGUCCAAUGAAAGAAGUCCCUCCAAUUAAGAAGUCAGAGGAGACACAACCAAAAAAGGUAUUUACUAUGUGUCAAUUUGAAAAGGAGAGCAAGGAAACUAAAGUUAUUUUUGCUUUAAUGGCUUGGGAAGUGGAAGAAUUUAAAGAGCAAGAUAAGGAAUAUCCAAUAAACGUACGUAAAAUCCUUGAUGACUUUUCUAACUUGUGGUCUACAGAGUUACCUAAUCAACUUCCUCCUAUGCGUGACGUACAACAUGCCAUUGAUAUGAUUCCCGGUGCAUCAUUACCAAAUUUACCAGCCUACAGAACGAAUCCAACAGAACAUGUUGAAUUGAAAAGGCAAGUUGAUGAAUUACUUACUAAAGGUUUUAUUCGUGAAAGCCUAAGUCCUUGUGGAGUUCCUGCCCUAUUAACACCAAAUAAGGAUGGGUCAUGACGGAUGUAUGUGGAUAGUCGUGCAAUUAACAAAAUCACAAUCAAGUAUCGAUUUCCAAUUCCAAGACUUGAUGACGUGCUAGAUAUAAUGGUUGGAUCAAUAAUCUUUUCAAAGAUUGAUCUAAGAAGUGGAUAUCAUCAAAUACGUAUUAGACCAGGGGAUGAAUGGAAGACAUCUUUCAAAACUAAGGAGGGAUUGUAUGAGUGGUUAGUCAUGUUGUUUAGACCAACCAAUGCUCCAAGUACCUUCAUACGGGAUAUGAUGCAAGUAUUGAAACCUUUUAUUGGACGGUUUGUUGUUGUUUAUUUUGAUGAUAUUCUAAUCUAUAGUCGAUCUUGUAAAGAUCAUGAGGAAAACUUGAAGCAAGUAAUGCGCACUCUCAGGGCUGAAAAAUUUUACAUUAAUUAAAAAAAUGUACUUUCAUGAGCCCUAGUGUUGUAUUUCUAGGCUUUGUUGUGUCUUCUAAGGGUAUUGAAACAGAUCCAAAGAAGAUCAAAGCUAUUGUUGAUUGGCCAGUACCAACAAAUAUCCAUGAGGUGCGAAGCUUCCAUGGAAUGACUACAUUCUAUCAACGAUUUAUUUGAAAUUUCAGCUCUAUUAUGGCCCCGAUUACUAAAUGCAUGAAACCUAGUUUAUUUAUUUGGACCAAGGCGGCCAACAAGACAUUUAAAGAAAUCAAAUCCAAGAUGGUGAACCCUCCUAUCCUAUGUCUCUACCGAACUUUGAGAAAGCAUUUGAGGUGGCAUGUGAUGCUUCCCAUGUGGGAAUUGGAGCAGUUCUUAGACAAGAGGGACAUCUUGUGGCUUUCUUUAGUGAGAAGCUCAAUGGGGCAAAGAAAAAAAUACUUCACAUAUGAUCUUGAAUUCUAUGCGAUGGUGCAAGCAAUUAGACAUUGGAAACAUUAUCUCAAUUACAAGGAAUUUGUUUUGUAUUCGGAUCAUGAAGCCUUGCAAUAUCUUAAUUCUCAAAAGAAGUUUAACUCUCGACAAGCAAAAUGGAGUAGUUUUCUUCAGCUAUUUACCUUCAAUUUAAAGCAUUGUGCAGGAAUUGAAAAUAAAAUAAUUGAUGCCCUUAGUAGGAAGGCUCUUUUCUUAGUAAACAUGUCAGCCACUACAAUUGGAUUUGAAGAAUUAAAGCAUUGUUAUGACAAUGAUGCUGAUUUUGGAGAUGUUUAUUCCUCUCUUUUGAGUGGUUCAAAAGCAACAUGUAUUGAUUUCCAGAUUUUAGAAGGGUACUUGUUUUAUAAAAAUCGUUUAUGGUUACCAAGGACUUCCCUAUGUGAUCAUGUCAUAUGGGAAUUUCAUGGAGGUGGAAUGGGUGAACAUUUUGGACGAGAUAAGACCAUUUAUUUGGUGGAAGAUCACUUCUUUUGGCCUAGUUUAAAGAAGGAUGUUUGGAAGGUUAUCAAACAAUGUCGAGCAUGUCAAGUAGGAAAAGGUUCAAAGCAAAAUAUAGGGUUAUAUACACCAUUACCAAUUCCAUCCAAACCUUGGGAAGACUUGAGCAUGGAUUUUGUACUUGGAUUACCAAGGACACAAUGGGACUUUGAUUCUAUAUUUGUUGUGGUUGACAAAUUUCCCAAAAUGGCACAUUUUAUCCCAUGUAAGAAGACUUCGAAUGCUUCUCAUGUUGCUGCUACCUUGUUCUUUAAAGAAGUAGUUUGAUUGCAUGGAUUACCACAAUCCAUUGUUUAUGAUCGCAAUGUCAAGUUUAUGAGAUAUUUUUGGAAAACCUUGUGGGCCAAGCUAGGUACUCAAUUAAAAUUUUCAAGUUCUUUUCAUCCUCAAACUGAUGGACAAACAGAAGUUGUCAAUCGCAACCUUGGUAAUCUUUUGAGAUGCAUUGUGAGAGAUCAAUUGAGAAAUUGGGACAAUGUCUUACCACAAGCCGAGUUUGCUUUCAACAGCUCCACUAAUCAUACUACUAGGUACUCACCUUUUGAAGUGGCAUAUGGGCUGAAACCUAAGCAACCUAUUGAUCUUAUAUCAUUACCUACCUAUGUCCGCACCAACCAAGAUGGUGAUGCAUUUGCACGUCAUAUACGAGAUAUACAUGAAAAGGUACAAGAAAAAAUCAAACUCAGCAAUGAGAACUAUAAAGAGGCAGCAAGUGCACAUCGAAGAUAUAUUCAAUUUCAAGAAGGUGAUCUAGUGAUGGUUUGUCUACGUCCAGAAAGAUUUCAUCCGAGCACAUAUCAAAAGCUUCAAGCUAAGAAAACGGGUCCAUUUCGAGUACUAAAGCGGUUGGGUAAGAAUGUUUAUUUGUUAAAGCUCCCUUUAGACUUGCAUAUUAGUCCAAUAUUUAAUGUGGAAGAUAUGUGUAUCUACCAUGGCCAUCACAACGAUGUAAGUGAAGAGUUGGAUCUUCAAUUACCACCUACUCUUAGCCCACGUCCUAAGAUCGAGUAUGUUCUUGAUGAUCAACUUGUGUCUACUCAACAAGGUGGAUACCAAAAGUUUUUGGUGAAAUAGCAAGGCAAACCACACUCUGAAAACACAUGGAUUAUGACAAUGGAUUUUCAGAAGCUUAACCCCGAUCUCAAUGAAUUGUAUCAAUCAUCUAACUCGUCAGAGUUGAGUUCUUUCAAGUUGGGGGGAAUUGAUGGGGGAAAGCCUUUUAAAGUUUAUUCAAGGAAGAAAUGGAAGACCUAAAUAAACUUUAAGUAGGAUUAAUAUUAAAUAGAAUUGAAUUAAGAUUGAUAUUUGUUGGAGUCUAAUUAGGAUUACCUAGUUGAGUUAUAAUUUAGAAUUUGAAUCAUGAUAGGUUAUUAGAGUCCUAGUAGACUUUGGAUGUUAUAAUUAGAAUUAGAAUCAUAAUAGGUUAUUAGAGUCUUAAUAGACUUUGGAUUUCUUAGAGAAACCUAUAAAUAGGCUAAUCAAUGUAAAUCAAAGGGAUGAAUUGAUAUUAAUAAUAUCAUAUUUUCUUUCAUUGCAAGGUUGCAACCUUCAAUGGCGAGACUCCAUUGAUUUUCUUAUAGGUGAGACUCCAUUGAUUUUCUUCUAAGUGAGACUCCUAGAAGGCCUUAGUGAGACUCUAAGGUUUUCGAUCUUUUCUUCGUUGUUUUUUUCUCUCUCUAUUUCUUAUAUUAUAUUUUUCUCUACCAUAAAAUUUAUUCCUUGUUCCUCUCCUUACACCCUAAAAAUAAAACCCUAGCCCACCUACCCUUGAGCAUGGGCAACCAUCCUAGGGUUGUCCUACAUCAACCAUCCCCCCUUUUCCUCAGAUACCAUAGUCAUGAAUUCCACACACUUGCUCACUUUUCUUUAAUAAAUUGCAUUAGGGUGCAUAUAUGAUGCUUUCUUUUAUAAGAGAAUUGCAUCAAAAGUUGCAAAAUCAGAGCAUUCGCAAAGUAUGCAAUAAAGCUCCAAAAGAAAAAGAGAGAGAAACAACUAUAGGAUAGAAAUCAAACGACAGCACAAAACACCUCAUUUAGAAACACAUGGUAUCCCCUAAUCAUCUUGUCAAUAAAAACCAAAAUUGUUCCAUUAGGCUGUGUUAGAAGUUGAUAUCCCCACAAGUGUGUUUCUUUGAGUUUCCACUGAAAUUUGACACCCUCAAAAUUCACAAAACAUCCUCAAUCCACAAAACUUGCAUGGAUUAAAAAAUGGUAUAGAUUUUUUUAUUUAUUUUUCCUUUCCUUCUUUAACAGAAUCACAGUUAAGAAUGAAUUAAAGUUGUUGACCUUCCACCACUUGAAACAUUAUCAUAAUGUUAACUCAUCCAAGCUAAUAGGCAAGGCAUGGUCCAAACUCCAGGCUGAAAGUUUAGACUCACCUAGGAGUCUCAACAACAAUAAGCCUAAAAGUCCUUAUUGCACAGUUUGUAUACAGCAGAGGAAGUUGCACAAAGAAUUCCCAGAUCAAUUUCAUCCUAGCUGUCAAAGUGGAGAGAGAGCAGUGCGCAAAUGAAAAAUGAGAAAGUGAAUGAAAUACUCCACUUAAACAAAAGGAGGCAGUGUGCUACUGUAGUAAGCCACUAGACCAAAGCAUUCUGUUUAUUCUAUAUUAAAGAAGCAUAUAACAUCAGAGUUUAAUGCUCAUCAAAAACUUAAUACCCUAUGCAUGAAAUCAAUUAACUACUCUCAUAUAAACAUAUCGAUGUUGUUGAAUCUAAUUGAAAAUACCAGUUGAUUAACUUCCUAAUUUUUUAGAUUUAAUUGAAAAAUACCAGGGAAUUAAUUCCCUGAUUUCCAAGAUUGUAUGAACUGUAUAUUUCCCAUUUUGUUUUGGUAGAGGAUUUCUAGGAAUUAGUCAACCUUCUGAUUUCGUGUUAAAAAACUUCCUAAUUUUGUAGGAUUGUACAUUUUAAAUGCUGUAUCAGAAAUGCAUGAAUAAAAAUCAUUCUUCUCCACAAACGAUACUGUAAAUAAGAUAUCAGCCUUGUUAAGAUUAGAUGACUAAAACACACCAGCGUGUGUGACACUGAUUGGUGAAUUCAUGACUAAAACACACCAGUGUGUGUGACACUGAUUGGUGAAAUUGUAGUACAUGCCAAAGAUUUAACACGGGUCAUCUCAACUAGAAGAACCUGUGCAGAAAGUGCAGUAAUAACUAAAAUUGCAGAAACAUACCUUCCACCGAUCCAAAUGGUAUACCAGCAUCCUCAAGACCUGAGAAAGAUUAGUUGAUACAGCGGUUAACAGAAAUGAUACAAGUGAUUUAAAAGUGGAGGAACAUAUUUCAUUUAUGCCAAAUGCUAAGCAAUUUGAUCUCAGUAUUAGAAGAAAAGCACCCUUUUCAUGAAGAAAUCAAUACCAGAAGGUAAGCAAUAGAAAUUUGAACAUAUAAACCGGUAAAUUCACAUGUACAAUACUUGCAGGUACAACAACAGUAACAAAAGGCAGACAAAAUGCAUCUUACACUUCUAGCACAACUGAAAAUGAUACUGGUAAACUGGGAUGAGCAAAAGCAUUAAGUUUUUAGUUCCUAGAUGGUUCUAAAAUAAGUAGACAGUGUUAGAUACCCAUACUUAAAACUUGUAACAGUUAGAACUUAACUCACCAAGUUGGUUUUAAAGCAGUCUACAAGAAUACCAUUUUACAAUGGACAAAUAGAGAUAUUAAGAGGUAACUAAAAAAGGGGGUGCAUCCCACGUACAAGGGGACUAUAUACAAAGGGCACUAGAAAAGAACAAGUAAAGAACAAGUUAUAUCAAAAUCCUACUAUCCCCAAACUAGACAAUAAAUGAAAUCCAACACGAAACCUUUCACCAUCCCCACUUCAAAAGAGAUUUGAUGGAGACCUCCUUUGAUCUUUGAUUAGAAGACUCCUCCCUAUUGAAAACCCAUCCACCCAUUGCACUCUCUCCAAAUGCACAAAAACAAGCAAAUGAGAGUCAUUUACAACACAUUUUUCCUUUAACUAUUUAUUCCCCACACACAGAAAAGAAGAUCCUUAACCAUUUCCAGAACACCACCCUCAAGCCUACAUAUUGCAGAUAAGGUAUCCCAUAGUAAUCAAACUUUGCCACAAUGAACUAAAAUAUGGAUUUCUGUUUCUUCACUACAUUUACAAAGAUUACAUCUGUUCAUCAAAAUUCAUCCCCCCUCUCAAAAGUUGAUCAUGGUUGAUAUCUUCUUCCAAAUAACUUCCCAAGGAAGAGACAAGCCUUCGAGCAGGUUCCCCAGUUCCUGAAAGCUUGAAGCAAGGAACAAUCCCCUAAGCCACAAGUUGUAAAAUGUCUUCACCUAAAAAUGCCCUUCUCAUCUCCCCCAUCCCCCUCUCUAAUGCUCCCAUUCACCAAACAAUUUUACAAAAUGAAUGCACCACUUUAUAAACCACACACCUCUUCAAGCUGUGAAAAAGCCUCCUAAAACUAGGGCUCCAAAGAACCCGAUCCCCCUCAACCACCCACAAAUCAGCCAAUUUUGCAUGUUUGGAAAUAGCAAAACUAAAGAGAAGGAAAAGCUUGUUUCAAAAACUCUCCCCAACUCAUAUGCCCAAACCACAGACUUUGUCCUUAUCCCAUACCCAACCAACAUAGAGGUUGUAAGGGUACACUAUUGCUCACCAAAAUAUGAUGUAGGAUAACCCUAAGAUGGUUAUCUAGAAUCAAAUAGGUGGGCUAUCUUUUAAAUUUAAGGAGGUGAACAAGAAUAAAUUAUAGCAGUGGAAAGAGACAAAUAAAAUAUUGGAAAAGAAAGAUAAUGACGAGAGAUAGGAAACUUUAGAGUCUCAUUAAGGCCUUCUAGAAAUCUCACUUUAAGGCAAUCAAUGGAGUCUCCCCAUUGAAAAUUGAAAGAUAUGUAAAAAUAAAAAAUAAAUAAAUAAAUAAGCUUUAAAAAAUUAAUAUUAUUGAUCAUUAAUCCUUAAUCUCGUUUUAUAGCAAUUAGCCUUAUUCAUAGGUUUUAGGUUUUGAAUAAAACUAUGAAAAAGUAAACCUAACCUAUAUAGUAACUAAUUGGGAUUCCUAUCCCUUUCCUAAAACUAUUAAAUCUUCUAAAAAAAUUAAAAGAAAUCAAAAUUAUUUUUUAUAGAAUGAGAAACUUACUUCAUAUAAAGUUUCAAACUUCUAAAUUUUCAUGACUCAAAAUGAAAAUUUUAGAACAAAAAAUUAUUUAGAAAAUAGAAAGUUUAGAACUUUUUUUUAAUGAGAAUUCUAGAACUUUCCAAAUUCCAACACUUUACUUUAUUUUCCUUUUCUUUUUUUAAAAAAACACAUUGAUGACCUCAUCCCCAUCAAAAUAGCUUUCCACAACCCCACUCCAAAAGGUGCUUCCACCUCCUACAAGCACCACCCACCACCCAUCUAGCAAAACAUUCUUUGGGUUUAGUUAUAACCUUCCUCCACGCAUUAUCUCACUCAUUUACAAAUCUCCAUAAUUACUACUAAGUAAAGUAGUGUUUAGAAUAGAAAGCCUUUAGAUACCUAGCCCACCCUACCUUUCUUUUCUUCUUUUUUUUCUUCUUUUUUCUUUGAGUCCACAAUCAACCUAUUCACAAGAUGAAGCAUUCUCCAUCUAGAUGAUUUCCCCACAAGAAGCCUAUAACUCUUUUCCAAUUUGACUCUUACUUUCCUAGGCAUGACAAAUAAGGACGUGAAAGAAAUUGUUAAACUGAGAGUAUGGUUUUGAUGACAGUCAGAUUUUUUUUUUUUUCCUUUUUUUUUUAUAAGCCAGUGAGAGUUAAUCUUCCCUGUAGACAAAAAUUGUUUCUUCCAUAUUUUUUUAAUCAACUAAUGAGAGUCAUUCUUCCCCCAUAAAAUCAAAUUUUUCUUCCAAGAGGUCAAUCUCCUUAAAUGCUCCUCUACUGAAUCCAAUACAACAUAACACUUAUAAACAGAUCUAAGGGAAGACCUAGAUAGGUGGAAGGAAAACAACAAACCCUACAAUUGAACAAAGAAACCAAAACACCCAUCCAUUGCACCUCAACCACCAAAAUCAGCUUCUUUGCUACAAAUUGAUUUUCAAACCCAGAACAAGCUCAAAAUAAAUCAAGGCCCACCUCAAAUACUUCAGCUAUUCCUUAGUGGCUUCACAAAACAACAAUAUAUCAUUCAUGAAAAAAUGAUGGGAAACUUCUACUCCUCCCACAUUCCCUACCUCGAAACCCUCUAAUAAAGCCCCACUUGCACUGCCCUCAAAAUGCAAGGGCUGAAAGCUUCCAUUGCUAAUACAAAACGGUAUAAAGUGGAUCACCCUGACUCAAACCUGUAAAGCUUUUUAAAACCAAAAGUCCCCCAGUACUUGAUCCAUCCCAUCCAUCUUUACCCGAAUCACAUUUUUUCCAUAAUCAAGAGGAGAAACUUCAACUUUACAUGAUCACAGCAGGUCUCUAUAUCCAAUUGGCACACUAAUCCUACUUGGAACCUUUUUGUUUCCAAAUCUAUAGCUUUGUUAGCAAGAAAAGUUACAUUCAAUAUUUGUCUACCCUCCACAAAAACAUUAUGAGACUUUGACAUCACCUUUUCAAUGACCUCCUUCAAUUUAUUCAUCAAAACUUUUGAAAAGGAGCACACCCAACUAAACCGAUAGGCCUAAAUUCCUUAAUAUUCUUCCACUCUCCCUUCCCCCCCUCCUAACCCCUAACACCCCCACACCCACUCCUUUGUAAGAUUUCAUUCAACAAACCCUUUCACAUAAAUUUCUUCCAAUACUUCAUCACACCCCUCUUGACAAUAAACCAACAAUUCUGCCAAAAAACCAUUGGGAAGCCAUCUAGUUACAAUAUUUUGUCUACCUCCAAACACAUAAAGCUACCAGCACCUCCUCUUCACCAAAAGGUCUCUCCAACCUUUCCCCAUAAAUAUUGUGAAUGGACCUGAAAAGCAUCUGGCCUUCUAUGCUAGGAAUUCCCAAAAAGAAACUGAAAGAAUGAAGCAAUCCCACUCUUUGGUUCAUAUAACCACAACCAUUCUCCCUUAAUCUGCUUAUAGAAUUUCCUUUCUGAUCUACAUUAGGCAUUUGAUGAAAGAACUUUAUAUUUAUAUGCCCUUGCGCCAAAAAAUUCUCUACUUUUGUGUCCAAGAGCUUUCUUCUUCAUAAAUGGCUAAAUGAUUGAAUUCAUUCCUAAGGUCCCUUCUCUUUCUAUAUUGUCCCAAAACCUGAUGGUUUUUUUUUUCAAGGCCACUUCUUUUCAAGAGGUCAUAUUACCAAAGACCACUUUAUUCCAACACUUAAAAUCUUCCUCCUAAGAUUUUAAUUUUUGACCAACACAAAACUAGGAGUCCCACUAGAAGAAAACCUUGAUGGACACUAAUAAAACUCUAGAUAAAGAAAGGAACAAACAAUGCUGAUAGAAAGUUAACAAAGAAUGGACUACUGAGGAAACUGAGAAAAAGACAUGACAAUGAAGUUUAAAGUUUGUACCAGGCAAUUGAGUAAGGGUCUUUGUUUCCUCAAAACCCAAUUAAUGAAAAUCCAAUAUUCAAAUUUUUCUUUAUACCCGUUCAAUUCCAGUUUUUCUCAGAAAGCAAAAGAAACAUAAUUACAAAAAUGUAGUUCUUCCACCCCCAGCAUAACUUAGUACUGCGGCUACUACUUAACCCUGUGUUAAACAUCCUCCCAAUUGACCAAGAAUAUUUUUUUCCUUUCUGGAAACCAAAACCACUUCACACAAAAUUUCAGAAUAUAUUUCCCUACAUUUACAUUUUCUCAAAAACGAACCCACACCCCGAAGUCAAACUUCCAAACACAAUGACCUCUUUCCGCCUCCUUCUGGUUGCCGAAAGUGAAUGAAAUAAAAGUCAAUUGAAAUUUUCGAGCAGAAUUUUUUUGUCUCCUGCUACUGAGCCUAAUAAAGUCAAAAAUAGUUUUAUUCCAUUCCCACAUUUUGUCAUAAACCAAUCAAAAACAUAGUAGAUUAUUCCAAUUUGAAAAAAAAAUAUUAACAAAUCCAGGAUUACCUUUAUCAGAAAAUUGAAUAUAAGAAUCAACCUUAGAAGGUGUGGGGCUCUUGUAUGAACCAUUCUUGCUCCUAUCUCUAAGCAACUCCUCAAGCUCUUUAUAAUAUGCCAUCUUGGCCGAACCACUACUGCUACUCCGAUCCUGGUGCUUCGCCUUCUUGAAUUCCUUCAAUAAAUUCCUCCAUUUAUCAGUGCACAUGGUCGGUGAUCUAUCAAAACCUUUCUCCCUCAUUUUGGCGGAGAUCUGUUCCCAUAAAUGCUUAUUCGAUUUGGAUGUGUUGAAGAGCCCAUCCACCUCUCUCCUGAAGCUUAUCAAGUUUCGUGUCUCCUCCUGCACCCAAGUCUCGGCUCUCUUCUUCGGCGCCUUCAUUUCGUGGUCUUCUCCACUGCUCUCAGCUAGAAUCAUCUGCUGCUGCUGCUGUUGAGGUGAGAGCCCGUUAUUGGCCACCACUUCGAGCAUCAUCUCUCUCCCUCCUCCUUCCUUGUAGAAAUCAAUCGGACGAGCCUUCUCCGACAGGUACAUGUCGCGAUUCUAUUGGUUGGUUUUGCGGUGCGAACCGUGAGAUUUCGCAUGUAAAACAAACCCUAAUUAGGACACAGAGAGGAUUGAAUCAGCGGUUGAGAACAGUAAAGCAAGAAGCACAGAGCAGAAGAUGAUGAUCACAUGAAACGACGUCGUAUCGAGUAUAGAUAACGGAGGGAUUUGGGGGAGGUGGACUGAUGGACUAGCGUGGGCUGGACCGUCUUACGGGAUGAGAAAAGAAGCAUGGGAAGAGCAAAUCACAAUCGCACGCGUGGCAGAGUGCACAUGUUUUUUGGACGUUGAUGUAUCAUGAUAGAGUGAUCCUGGCCGUCGAUAUGUAGUAGUAUUGAAAAGAACGUGGACUCUCGAGUGUUUGCGCAACCACAGUGGCGACUGGGUGAGGAUGAAACGGGGGCCUGUGGUCCUAUACUCCCAGUCCCUCCCCAGGCGUUCAUCAGCCACCCUUACAGACAUUCCCUCUGGGCGGCACGUGUAUGCGUCAGAAACUGGGAAUAGCUGACUUAGGACAGUUGUGGGUCCUGACACCAAAUAUAUAACAGUUUCAUGAUUUUUAAAACAGAUAUUCAAAUAAAAAAUAAGAUAACUUUUAAAUAAAAAAUAAAAAAUAUAGAUUACAACUUUCAAUGUGAUAAUUCUUUGCUUGCUCCAAAUAUACAAAUGUAUGUAUAUGGUUAAGUUUAGCAACAUAUUGUCCCCCAAAACAAUCGAAAAAAUAGUGUGAUUUGUAUUUAAAUUAAUAAUUUGUGUGGUAAAAUCUUAACGUUAAUAUUUGUCACAAAAUAAUAUUUUUUUUCUAUGAUACUUUCAUUUUGAUCAUAAUUCAAAAAUAGAUAAUGAAAAUAUUUUAUUGAUUUUAAAAGUUAAUCGAAGACUUUGAGUGUUUUAUUCCGGAACAAUUUUAUUGAAAGAUGAAGAACAAUGGUUAUCCUUUAUGAUUUUUUGAAUUUGCAUGAAGGUUUUAUAAAGCUUUAAGUAAAUCGAGGGUUUAAAGUGGUUUAUUUUCGAAUGACCUUAUUAAAAAGGGAAGAUCGACGAGUGUGAAACUUCUGUUGUUUUUAGGAUUUAUAGUGAAAUUUAAUUUAGUGAAAAUUUUUAUUUUAGUGAAAUUUUUUAUUUUUUAUGAAAUCUUGUAGACUCGUUUUGUUAAUUUGAAGAAUUCUCCCGUUGAAAUAAGUCACCCUACAAGUUAGGGAAUUAAAUUUUAGAAUUACCCUUAGUUGUUUAUUUUAUUUUAUUUAAUGCUACCACCUACCAUUGCCUUUCCAUUCAAUUCAUUGUCAUUAUACCCUUUUCGUCACGAAAUUCUAAUGUCCCAACAGCACAUAUGAAAAUGAUGAGGGAAGCAUCAAUUGGGUCAUAUUUUUCGUAGGUAAGGCCUCACGGAGAUCGGAUCAGUCUGGUCAACGUAGCCUCCCUCCGGUCGCUUCCCGAGAGAAUCUUUUUUGCUGCUUCAACAUUUCCAGUUGGAUAUUCAUCAGCGGCUGAAUCAGAUGGUGCCGAAUCAGGUCUUGUCGAAUCAUAUCUUCCCACCUAUCGUCCAUGCUCGGGAUUUCCAAGGAAAGAUGAUUCAUUCAAGAAUCAAGACCCAAUAUAUCACCUAAUAAUUAUUUUUCACUUUUUCUGGAAAACCAUAUUUGUACAGAAAUCAUUUUAUGACUAAAAAAUAAUUAAGAAUUAUCCAAACUCCAUAAAAAAUUAAAAAUUAAAAUCAAUAAUUAUGGCACAUGAGACAUGAACUAGCAACUUUUAGCACUCUGAAUAAAGAUGAUAAGAAUUAGAAAAGACAAAAAGGUGUCAUGGUUACGUAUAACUUCUGAGUAAUUUAAUGUAUAUGCCGGAAACAGUGAGCAAAACCUUCAACAUCCUAAGCACCAUUAUCUACUCAAGUGGUAGACAGUGCCUGAUUUGCCACCAGCUUUUCUAUGAUCCUCUGAAGGGCAGGAGCGCUCACCCCACAUUUCGUAUCAGCAAAGCAGGAUCUACCUUCUUCAGCUGCCUUGCAUAGCUGUGGGUCUAAUGGUACCUUCCCCAAGAAGGGGACAUUCAUUUCCUUGCACAUUUUUGCUGCCCCACCGCUACUACUAUCAAACACCUCACUGCAAGCAACCAAGUUUAGCAUUUCUGGAGCUUUCUCCCUCAUAUAUUCAAUCACCCACUCUGUCACAUCUUUUUGUUCACCUGUCUCUGUCACCCUUGUAAACCUGAAAUCUGUCACUGGUUGGCACAACCCGCUCAUGUUCUCAACCACUCCGAGAACUUCUACUCCAACUUUCUUGCAGAAACUCACUUCUUUGCGCACGUCGAUUAGAGAGACUUGUUGUGGGGUGGUGACUAUGAUUGCACCAUCUAUUCCAGUUCCCUGGAGGAAUUGGACAAUAGAGAUGUGCUCGUCCGAAGUCCCUGGCGGGGCAUCAACCACUAGGAAGUCGAGUUCUCCCCAGUACACAUCCUUUAGGAAUUGCUUGAUGAUCCCAUUUUUACGGGGGCCCCUCCAUAUGACAGCUUCAUCCGGGUUUGGAAGCAUGAAACCGAUGGACAUGACCCCGAGGUUCGACUCAACAUAGACAGGAGACCAGCCAAGGUUGCUCUGGUGGAUGUCUUGUCCUUCUAGACCAAGCAUCUUGGGAAUACUUGGGCCACAAAUGUCGAUAUCAAGGAGACCCACUUGGAAGUCCAUAGCUGCUAGAGCAAAUGAGAGUUGGGCAGAGAAUGUGCUCUUGCCAACCCCACCUUUGCCUGACAAAACCAGUAUCUUACGCUUCACAGUAGCCAUUCGCUCAGCAAUGGCAACCAAGUCUGCAAUAACCAAUAUGCAGAAAAUUCAGAUAACAAGAAAGACAUGAUUCUUGAGACAGAUAAUAUCGGUUCAGCUAAAGUGACAACUAUCACAGCUCAAGUCUAUCCAGGACUUGUGAGUGCUUUAAUUUCCACACGAAAGCAAUUGAACAAAGAUUUGGAUAAAAGAAUUUAUAAGAUAACAGCAUAAGAUGCAUGUUCAUAAGACAAUGUAACCAACCCAAAAGAAUAAUCUAAGGUGUGCACCUAACGCAUUUUAUAGUCUAGUAAUUGAAAUGCAUAUAUAUUCUUGCAUCAUCAGAAUUUUAUUUUCCCCACCAGUUCAUGAAAAUAAGCCCGUUUUCUAUUCUACAGGAGUACGAGUGAAUUCAUAAAAAUAAUACCAAUCAACCAAAGAACAGAAAGAUAUCAAAAGAACCCCAAGAAUAAGUUAUCAAACUAAAAGACAAAACAACGCAGCCUUUUUUUUUUAACCUCCAAAAUUGCAUGCAAAAGGAUUAGCAAUAAGGCAGGCAACUUAUAUAAAAGACAAAGUCUAGGUUCAUUCCUUCUUGCCCAUAAGAUGACAAUAUGAGAUUAAUUUCCAAAUGCAGGGCAGCUUAAGUCUAUAGCACUAUAGUACAUGCACCAAUAAAUGUAAUAAUUAAGACUUUGACUCAUGCUUUUGACAAAAUUGAAAACUUACUUUAUUUUGCAGAUUGUUUCAUUAGACUAGCACUGCAUUAUUUACCCUUGAGGAAUCCAUUAGCGAUCAAGAAAAUUUUCCACUCAAGCAUUGAAGAAAGGUACUUAUAAGCAUCUUUGUUCAAUUGUUUAUGCCAUGUGCUUCAACUUUCUUAUCCCAACUAUAUCUGUGCUACUGUAAUGACACUAAAUUUGUAACAGUACCAGUAAACUACAAAAGCAAUUUGAGUUGUGCUCAUACACAUUAUCAUUUUAGUAAUUGUCACGCCUCAGAUUCUGGACAACCCAAAAUUCAAUUUGUGAUCCCAGGUCACAUGUUUGACUCUAAGGGUUAUGCCUAUCCAAGCUGGCAAUCAAUCCUAAUAACCUGUUUAUUUAUUUUCAAAACCAACCAUUAGACUAUCACCUAUUCACAAGUAUAAUAAAUCCGCCAAUCAUCUUACCACUCAAAUAUUUGUAAAAAGUUUUACAAACUACUAAAAUAUGGUUCAAGUUACAAAAGUUAGUUCUUUUACUCUUUGGGGCUUUUAUUUAUUCCCAACAUGCUUAAUGAUUUUCAACAACUAACAUAACAAUUUUUCUUCAACAAUAUCAUCCCAAAUAUUAAAGAAAAUUCUCAAUAAUCCAAAUAUCAACAAAACAUAAUUUAUACUCUAAUUUUAUUUAUUCCUAACAAUCUCAAUAAUUUUUUCAACACCCAAUACAAUUAUUUUUCCACAUUUAAAUCACCAAAAACAU
rnacentral:lncRNA from 1 species